rnacentral:rRNA from 1 species
AACGAACGCUGGCGGCAUGCCUAACACAUGCAAGUCGAACGAGACCUUCGGGUCUAGUGGCGCACGGGUGCGUAACGCGUGGGAACCUGCCUUUAGGUUCGGAAUAACUCAGAGAAAUUUGAGCUAAUACCGGAUAAUGUCUUCGGACCAAAGAUUUAUCGCCUUUAGAUGGGCCCGCGUUGGAUUAGCUAGUUGGUGGGGUAAAGGCCUACCAAGGCGACGAUCCAUAGCUGGUCUGAGAGGAUGAUCAGCCACACUGGGACUGAGACACGGCCCAGACUCCUACGGGAGGCAGCAGUGGGGAAUAUUGGACAAUGGGCGCAAGCCUGAUCCAGCAAUGCCGCGUGCAGGAUGAAGGCCUCGGUUGUAACUAGCUUUGUUACGGUAACGAAACGGUAGA